AGAGUUUGAUCCUGGCUCAGGACGAACGCUGGCGGCGUGCUUAACACAUGCAAGUCGAGCGGAAAGGCCCUUCGGGGUACUCGAGCGGCGAACGGGUGAGUAACACGUGAGUAACCUGCCCCUGACUCUGGGAUAAGCCCGGGAAACUGGGUCUAAUACCGGAUAUGACACCUCCUCGCAUGGGGUGGGUGUGGAAAGUUUUUCGGUUGGGGAUGGACUCGCGGCCUAUCAGCUUGUUGGUGGGGUAAUGGCCUACCAAGGCGACGACGGGUAGCCGGCCUGAGAGGGCGACCGGCCACACUGGGACUGAGACACGGCCCAGACUCCUACGGGAGGCAGCAGUGGGGAAUAUUGCGCAAUGGGCGAAAGCCUGACGCAGCGACGCCGCGUGGGGGAUGACGGCCUUCGGGUUGUAAACCUCUUUCAGCAGGGACGAAGUUGACGUGUACCUGCAGAAGAAGCGCCGGCUAACUACGUGCCAGCAGCCGCGGUAAUACGUAGGGCGCAAGCGUUGUCCGGAAUUAUUGGGCGUAAAGAGCUCGUAGGCGGCUUGUCACGUCGGGUGUGAAAGCUUGGGGCUUAACUCCAGGUCUGCAUUCGAUACGGGCUGGCUAGAGGUAGGUAGGGGAGAACGGAAUUCCUGGUGUAGCGGUGAAAUGCGCAGAUAUCAGGAGGAACACCGGUGGCGAAGGCGGUUCUCUGGGCCUUACCUGACGCUGAGGUGCGAAAGCGUGGGGAGCGAACAGGAUUAGAUACCCUGGUAGUCCACGCUGUAAACGUUGGGCGCUAGGUGUGGGGACCUUCCACGGUUUCCGCGCCGUAGCUAACGCAUUAAGCGCCCCGCCUGGGGAGUACGGCCGCAAGGCUAAAACUCAAAGGAAUUGACGGGGGCCCGCACAAGCGGCGGAGCAUGUUGCUUAAUUCGACGCAACGCGAAGAACCUUACCAAGGCUUGACAUUGCCCGGAAACACUCAGAGAUGGGUGCCUCUUCGGAUCGGGUGACAGGUGGUGCAUGGCUGUCGUCAGCUCGCGUCGUGAGAUGUUGGGUUAAGUCCCGCAACGAGCGCAACCCUCGUUCAAUGUUGUCAGCACGCUCCUUCGGGGGUGGUGGGGACUCAUUGGAGACUGCCGGGGUCAACUCGGAGGAAGGUGGGGAUGACGUCAAGUCAUCAUGCCCCUUAUGUCUUGGGCUGCAAACAUGCUACAAUGGCCGGUACAGAGGGCUGCGAUACCGCAAGGUGGAGCGAAUCCCUAAAAGCCGGUCUCAGUUCGGAUUGGGGUCUGCAACUCGACCCCAUGAAGUCGGAGUCGCUAGUAAUCGCAGAUCAGCAACGCUGCGGUGAAUACGUUCCCGGGCCUUGUACACACCGCCCGUCACGUCACGAAAGUCGGCAACACCCGAAGCCCGUGGCCCAACCAGCUUGCUGGGGGGAGCGGUCGAAGGUGGGGCUGGCGAUUGGGACGAAGUCGUAACAAGGUA
rnacentral:rRNA from 1 species